UACGAAGGGGGCUAGCGUUGCUCGGAAUCACUGGGCGUAAAGCGCACGUAGGCGGGUCUUUAAGUCAGGGGUGAAAUCCCGGAGCUCAACUCCAGAACUGCCUUUGAUACUGGAGAUCUUGAGUCCGGGAGAGGUGAGUGGAACUCCGAGUGUAGAGGUGAAAUUCGUAGAUAUUCGGAAGAACACCAGUGGCGAAGGCGGCUCACUGGCCCGGUACUGACGCUGAGGUGCGAAAGCGUGGGGAGCAAACAGG
rnacentral:rRNA from 1 species